UGGUCGGAGUGGAGACGGUGGCCUGUCACGCCUGAUCCCCAUAUUCCUGGAAUUUGGAAAUUCCUUGCCCAAUUUCCUGACUUCAGAAGUUGGUGAGGUGUUAAGUGACGGUGAGGUGUUAAGAGAUCUGCCAGAUUGACCAGGACUCGUGUUCAUCACCAAAUUAUUUCAUGUAGUAAUUUAUCUAUGUUUAGUGAACACACAAUUUCCAAGUCUGAUUCCUUUUUCUAAGUUGAGACAUCACAAUUUUUGUAAAAGGUUUUCUUUGUGUUAGGAUUCCUUUUUGACAGGAAAAUUUGAAGUUUUUUUGGGGAGGAAAGAGGUACUUUGGAUUCUUUCAUUUUAUUUCUGAGGGUGGACGAGGUGGCAAGAUUCAAACUUAACUGUAAAUUCCUUGACCCUUGUUCCGUGGCGUUGGAGGACAGCGUCAUUUUGAGGUGACAGUAUUUUCGAGUAUUGUACAUUUCUUUUGUUCAUGUUCCCAGAAAAUUGACUCUUUUUAAGGUUUCAGCCAUGUCAAUCGAUUUCGUAAUGAAUGUUCUCAAUUAGAUAUUGUUUUUUAUUAGCUUUACUUUACUUCUCCCCGAGAUUAGUUGCUCCUGACUAUUAAUUGCUAUUUUCCGUAUAGACUUCUUCCUAAUAUUAAUUGCCACAAUCUUCUCCUGACUGAAUGUCUUGGAUGCAGUUUUAUCACGGCCAUGUUUACAGUUUGACUGAUGGGAGAUUUCACGCAGUCAUACAAUUAACACAGAUUGGGAUAAAUUUUGUUCUUUUAUUUGAAGACAUUUCUAAAAAGAUUUUCCGAACAUCAACCAGCUCUUUCUCUUGCUAAAUAAACUGUAUAUAUUCGUUUACGAUAUGUAGUGUGUAUUAAAGUAUUGAUUCUUAAAGUUGAGAUGUGUAAUUAAAAACAGAAAUAAAUAGUUGGAAUUGCA